GGGGUUGUGGCUCAGUGGUAGAGUGCUUGCCUAGGACACAUGAGGCACUGGGUUCGAUUCCCAGCACCACA
rnacentral:tRNA from 1 species